rnacentral:rRNA from 1 species
UACGAAGGGGGCUAGCGUUGCUCGGAAUCACUGGGCGUAAAGGGUGCGUAGGCGGGUCUUUAAGUCAGAGGUGAAAUCCUGGAGCUCAACUCCAGAACUGCCUUUGAUACUGAAGAUCUUGAGUUCGGGAGAGGUGAGUGGAACUGCGAGUGUAGAGGUGAAAUUCGUAGAUAUUCGCAAGAACACCAGUGGCGAAGGCGGCUCACUGGCCCGAUACUGACGCUGAGGCACGAAAGCGUGGGGAGCGAACGAGG